rnacentral:rRNA from 1 species
GAUGAACGCUAGCGGCAGGCUUAGCACAUGCAAGUCGAGGGGUAACAUUGUGCUUGCACAGAUGACGACCGGCGCACGGGUGCGUAACGCGUAUAGAACCUACCUUUUACAGAGGAAUAGCCUUUAGAAAUGAAGAUUAAUGCCUCAUAGUAUUGCGACUUGGCAUCGAGUUGUAAUUAAAGAUUUAUCGGUAAAAGAUGGCUAUGCGUCCUAUUAGUUAGUUGGUAAGGUAACGGCUUACCAAGACAGCGAUAGGUAGGGGUCCUGAGAGGGAGAUCCCCCACACUGGUACUGAGACACGGACCAG